UACGUAGGUGGCAAGCGUUGUCCGGAUUUACUGGGCGUAAAGAGCGCGCAGGCGGUCGUCCAAGUCGCGUGUGAAAGCCCCCGGCUCAACUGGGGAGGGUCAUUCGAUACUGAUCGACUCGAAGGCAGGAGAGGGAAGUGGAAUUCCCGGUGUAGUGGUGAAAUGCGUAGAUAUCGGGAGGAACACCAGUGGCGAAGGCGGUUCUCUGGGCCUGACCUGACGCUGAGGCGCGAAAGCGGUGGGGAG
rnacentral:rRNA from 1 species